rnacentral:rRNA from 1 species
AGGGAUCAUUACUGAGUUACCGCUCUAUAACCCUUUGUGAACAUACCUAACCGUUGCUUCGGCGGGCAGGGGAAGCCUCUCGCGGGCCUCCCCUCCCGGCGCCGGCCCCCACCACGGGGACGGGGCGCCCGCCGGAGGAAACCAAACUCUAUUUACACGACGUCUCUUCUGAGUGGCACAAGCAAAUAAUUAAAACUUUUAACAACGGAUCUCUUGGUUCUGGCAUCGAUGAAGAACGCAGCGAAAUGCGAUAAGUAAUGUGAAUUGCAGGAUUCAGUGAAUCAUCGAAUCUUUGAACGCACAUUGCGCUCGCCAGCAUUCUGGCGAGCAUGCCUGUUCGAGCGUCAUUUCAACCCUCAAGCACCGCUUGGUUUUGGGGCCCCACGGCACACGUGGGCCCUUAAAGGUAGUGGCGGACCCUCCCGGAGCCUCCUUUGCGUAGUAACUAACGUCUCGCACUGGGAUCCGGAGGGACUCUUGCCGUAAAACCCCCAAAUUUUUUACAGGUUGACCUCGGAUCAGGUAGGAAUACCCGCUGAA